GUUUGAAUGGCUUAUAUAAAUGUUAAAGUACCCCUCCUGAACUAAUAAUUGUAAACCAUUAUAAAAAUACUGUGUAGAAUGACACAUUGUUUUAUUUAAUGCCCAUAGAACCACUAAAUGGCAUUGGAGCAUCUCGACACCAUUACUUCUCAAUAAAUAUGCAUCCUGGAAACAAUCCUGUGUCCUUCUGCGAUUACAGAUAGCUAGCUAGCUAGCUAGUUAACUUCUACUAAACUAGCUCACGUGUCACAGGUACAGUAGUCCUGAUUGGGAUUUCAGUAUCCGAGGCCUUGUAUACGUGGUCAUAUUCUCAGUAGCCAAACCUUUUGAAAUAUACUGAAACAAACACAAUUGUGUAUAUCACUGACAUUAGUUUGGUAAAGUUUAGCUAAUGUUGUGCUAAAUGACCAGCUAGUUUAGCAUGCGGGUUCUUUGGCUAAAAUCUAUCACCAUUUAAUAAUUUGCAUAUUAAGCACAAUAACUUCCGUUGAGCAUAUUUCAGCUUAUUUAUCACCAGCUGAUCUCAUACAUGAAGUUCACAAUAGAGUUCAGGGGUACUUUAAACAUCAGUGCAUUUAAGUGUGCUGUGUAAAUAUUUAUGAUAUAUAUAUAUAUAUAUAUAUAUAUAUAUAUAUAUAUAUAUAUAUAUAUAUACACACACACACACACACACACACACACACACACACAUAUAUAUAUAUAUAAUGCUUGGAUGAAUGGUUAUAGUACGACAACAGAAGGAUUCAGCUGUGUCAGUUGUGUUUAGAAGCACAAUAGUAUGUUCGGGUUUUUUUUUUUGUUGUUUUCUUACCUUGAAUUGAAUUUAACCUGUUUUGUUUAUUGGAACUAAUUUAUUUUAAAAAAACAAACAAAAAAAAAAACAAUAGUGUUGAUUGCUGAUGAAUGUGUGAUUUGUUCCCCUUUUAUUUUUUACAUUUAAUUUAUAAAAUAAAUGUAGAGCUGCAAAGGAAGAAGUGAAAAUGUCAGGCAAAAAAUAUAAGCCUUGAAUAAGAUAUAUAAGAGAUAUUGGGAAAAGAGAAUAUGGAAAUGAAAGAGACGUUCCACAGGAGGGGAAGAGAGAGAAAAACCCAAGUUUAACUUACAAGCUUAAAAGUUACAUUCACACAGACACAUGAACAUUGUAUAAUAUGCAGUAUAGUUAUAGUGUGUUAUAUUUGCUAUAGUUUAUGAAGUCAGUAUUUCGCAGAUGUGACCUAAUGGUGUUGUUUAGGAUGCCACCAUGUUAGCAUUCAAAAAAAAAAAAUCUGUUGAGACGGUAAACUCUUUCACACACCAACAAAGCUCUGAAUGAAAACAGAUCCUGCCCUCUCUCUGUACUCUACCACUAGAACAAUUCAAUAAUCCCCUGAUUCAAUAAUACCCUGAACUAAAAGGUUUGCACUGAUUUUGUUUAGGCUUUUAAGACAUUUUAAAAAAGCCCUUUCUAAGGGUCAACUAAAUAAAACCUCAUUUGUCUCAUCUUAAGGUUUUAUGUGCAAACACAGGGAGGCUAAUCCCAUAAACAGGCCAGAAAUAAGUGAGUAUAGAAUGUUGGGGAAAAGGCAUUGUGGUGCUACUGAGCAAUCUGAGGAACUCUAUGUUCACAAUGUGUACUAUUCAGUGCUAACAGGCAUUGAUCAGUCUGGAUCUCCUUUUUCCUCUAAGUUCCUUCCUCCCUCCUUUCUCUCUCUCACCCUGUGUAUCUUCUCCAUCUUUAAUAAAGUGUUGUCAGUAGUAACUA
ensembl:lncRNA